rnacentral:rRNA from 1 species
GGAGCCUGCGGUUUAAUCAGACUCAACGCCGGGAAACUCACCAGAUAAGACAGCUGAAUGAUAGUCGGGCUGAAGACUCUACUUGACUAGCUGAGAGGAGGUGCAUGGCCGUCGUCAGUUCGUACUGUGAAGCAUCCUGUUAAGUCAGGCAACGAGCGAGACCCACGCCAACAGUUGCCAGCUCGUCCUCCGGGAUGGUGGGGACACUGUUGGGACCGCCUCUGCUAAAGAGGAGGAAGGAAUGGGCAACGGUAGGUCAGCAUGCCCCGAAUUAUCUGGGCUACACGCGGGCUACAAUGGGUGGGACAAUGGGUAUCGACACCGAAAGGUGAAGGCAAUCUCCUAAACCCAUCCGUAGUUCGGAUUGUGGGCUGCAACUCGCCCACAUGAAGCUGGAAUCUGUAGUAAUCGUGUCUCAAAAUGGCACGGUGAAUAUGUCCCUGCUCCUU